AAAGUGAGGGAGUUUUGACCAACAACAAGGUUGGCACAGCAGCCAUACUUCUCAUGAUGAAGUAUUAGAAGGAAGAUGAAGACUCCCUCUUUGUCUUAGCAGAUGAAACAUCUACCAGGAUGUCCCUUAAAGCAGAGAGCAACCUGCCCAUCACCCCAAGGCUGAUUAUGCUUGAUGAUCCAUGGCCCAUGCUUUCUGGACAUUUACACAAGACGAACAACAAUGAAGACAAGCUCUCUUGCCACUCUUGCAAGACUCUGUC